rnacentral:lncRNA from 10 species
GAUGGAGUUUCGCUCUUGUUGCCCAGGCUGGAGUCCUGGGCGACAGACCAAGACUCUGUUUCAAAACAACAACAAUGAAAUUGGGUUGAGGAAAAGAGGAGAGCUGAAACCGGCUAUUUCAUUCCCAUCAAUAAUCCACAAAAUGUCAGAUGGGUCUGAAGGCAGAAAACAUGGGUCAGACCCAUGCUUCUGAAAUGCCUGCAGAUUUCAACCCCACGUUGACCCCAGGUAGCACAUACAUAAAACCGUACCUGGUCUCCUCCAGGACACACAGCUGUGGUCAGUCUCUCUGGGACCCUUUAUAGCAAGGUCCCAAAUAAGGAAAAACAGAGGUUUCUAAGACAUUCUGAGAGGAGCUAGGAAGGCGGGCAGACCAGAGCUUCCUGUAUCCAUUCCCUGAAAUCUUUGUGCAUUUCUGGAGGGAUGGCCUAUGAAGUUCCCUGGCACAUCUCAGAGGCGACAGCUAGACUCAAGUGUGCUUCCUGCCCUUUUCUGGCCAACUGUCCACUAGUGAUGCUGCCAUCUGUGAUAUUCAAGUGAGCAGACAGGAGGAGAGAAAGAAGCCAAAGGCCACGCAAGUGCAUUAAGUCCUUAUCUGGAAGAUAGGAGUCAUUUUUUGAAGACACAUAAAAGCAGAAGCAAAGAACUUUCUUGAGAAUUACAGAAGCUAUUUCCUGCUGAUAAGAUGUCCUCCAACUAGAAAUGAUUUUGCUUCAGAAAACUGUACAGCCAGGGACCCAGCAAAGGUAGUUCUAGUGGUUUGCCUCUGUGCCCUCUUCUCCUGAUGCCGUGGAGUAACUAGAAAACCAGGCCCCUUAGGCAAACUGAGGUGUAUAUGAUGACAAUGCAUGCAGCCUGAUGAAGUCAAGGCAUAGAGCUGGGCAGACAGCAGGGAUUCAACCAGCACCAGGCAGCGGCCUCCCCUGUCCCUGCUCGUCACACAGACACCCCCUACCUGUGAACUGUCCAACCUGCUGUGGGAAGCUGCCUUGUGUCGGGUCUUGGUACUGGGGUGGUGGGCGGGUCAGAUGGCGCUGAAACUGUUGCUUCUCCUAGAAAAUGCCAAGAACAACAAAACAAAACCAACAUAUAACAAAAUCCAAAACAAAGGGAGUGAGGGAGGUCAGAGAAAAGUAACUUAUCCAAGUUUGUUACUCACAAAUGGGCUCCUGUGGAAAUAGUGCUGAUUUCAUUUUGGGGUUUUUAAAUAGUAUGAAACAGAUCUAGGGAGCAAUGACUUUUUUAAAAGGUAGGUAUACCUGUUUUUAAAAAAUGGAGAGCUGGUUAGGAAAAUGCAAAUCACAGCUACAAUGAGAUCCCACUAGGAUGGCCAGAAUCAAAGUCAGAUGAUAACAAGUGGUUGGUGAGGAUGUAGAGAAAUCAGCACCCUCAUACACCGCUGGUGGGAAUGUAAAAUGAGACAGCCUGUGGGAAACAGUCUGACAGUUCCUCCAAAGGUUAAACAUAAAAAUUACCAUGUGAUCCAGCAAUUCCACUCCCAGGUAUCUACCCAAGAAAAAUGAAAACAGAUGUCUAUAUGAAAACUUGUACAUGAAUGUUCAUAGCAGCAAUACUCAUUAACAGCCCAAACAAGAAACCCAAAUGUUCAUGAACAGACGAAUGAAUAAAAUGUAACAUGUCCAUACAAUGGAAUAUUAUUAUCAAGAGGAAUCAAUUGCUGUUACCUAGCACAUGAUUGAAAAUGACAUAACAUAAAUAUAAAAUGUCCAGAAC